GCUGGAAUCGCUAGUAAUCGCGGAUCAGAAUGCCGCGGUGAAUACGUUCCCGGGUCUUGUACACACCGCCCGUCACACCAUGGGAGUUGGAAAUGCCCGAAGUCAGUGGCCCAACCGGAAGGGGGAGCUGCCGAAGGCAGGUUCGAUGACUGGGGUGAAGUCGUAACAAGGUAAC
rnacentral:rRNA from 1 species